rnacentral:rRNA from 1 species
UACGUAGGGGGCUAGCGUUGUCCGGAAUCAUUGGGCGUAAAGCGCGUGUAGGCGGUCCGAUAAGUCCGCUGUGAAAGUCGAGGGCUCAACCCUCGAAUGCCGGUGGAUACUGUCGGGCUUGAGUACGGGAGAGGCGAGUGGAAUUCCUGGUGUAGCGGUGAAAUGCGCAGAUAUCGGGAAGAACACCCGUGGCGAAGGCGGCUCUCUGGAACGCAACUGACGCUGAGACGCGAAAGCGUGGGGAGCAAACAGG